CACAGGGAAUUGCCUCAGUACGGCGAGUGAAGCGGCAAGAGCUCAAAUUUGAAAGCUGGCCCCUUCGGGGUCCGCAUUGUAAUUUGCAGAGGAUGCUUCGGGAGCGGCCCCCAUCUAAGUGCCCUGGAACGGGCCGUCAUAGAGGGUGAGAAUCCCGUCUGGGAUGGGGUGCCCGCGCCCGUGUGAAGCUCCUUCGACGAGUCGAGUUGUUUGGGAAUGCAGCUCUAAAUGGGUGGUAAAUUUCAUCUAAAGCUAAAUACUGGCCGGAGACCGAUAGCGCACAAGUAGAGUGAUCGAAAGAUGAAAAGCACUUUGAAAAGAGAGUUAAACAGCACGUGAAAUUGUUGAAAGGGAAGCGCUUGCGACCAGACUCGCCCGCAGGGUUCAGCCGGCAUUCGUGCCGGUGUACUUCCCCGCGGGCGGGCCAGCGUCGGUUUGGGCGGCCGGUCAAAGGCCCUCGGAAUGUAACGCCCCCCGGGGCGUCUUAUAGCCGAGGGUGCCAUGCGGCCAGCCCGGACCGAGGAACGCGCUUCGGCUCGGACGCUGGCAUAAUGGUCGUAAGCGACCCGUCUUGGAAACACGGACCAAA
rnacentral:rRNA from 1 species